AGAACGAACGCUGGCGGCAUGCCUAACACAUGCAAGUCGAACGAAGGCUUCGGCCUUAGUGGCGCACGGGUGCGUAACGCGUGGGAACCUGCCCCUCGGUUCGGAAUAACAGUUAGAAAUGACUGCUAAUACCGGAUGAUGACUUCGGUACCAAAGAUUUAUCGCCGAGGGAUGGGCCCGCGUAGGAUUAGCUUGUUGGUGGGGUAAUGGCCUACAAGGCGACGAUCUUUAGCUGGUCUGAGAGGAUGAUCAGCCACACUGGGACUGAGACACGGCCCAGACUCCGUACGGGAGGCAGCAGGUGGGGAAUAUUGGACAAGUGGGGCGAAAGCCUGAUCCAGGCAAUGGCCGCGUGAGUGAUGAACGGUCGUUAAGGUUGUAA
rnacentral:rRNA from 1 species